GGGGCAUUGCUCGGGCAGUUCUGACCCUUUCGCUUCCCUUCGCGGAGGCGGUGGGUGGACGGAGGUCUGGGCAGACAGGCUCGUGGGGCUGUCAGAGGCGCUGGGGGCUGAAGUCCAGGCUGCCCAGGAAGAGUCAGAGGCCUGCGAUUGACCGCCCAGCUUGGAGAAGAGAAAUAAAGCCCAGUACAACUCACAAAAGACAAUGGACCCAACUACCGGGCUACCUGAUGCCAGCCUCCGACUGUUUUUGAAACAAUACAAGAAUUAUACAAGAUCCUUAUACCUUUGUUCCUCAUCGCCAACCCAGAACUUGGAACCCUCAUCUAUAUAAUCCCUUAGACUCCCCCUGGAAGAGGGACACAAUUCUUGAGGCAUGAGCCUGCUUCAUCUUCCCUCCGCCGCCAGAAGAUUAAAACCACCUUUCUAUUUCCUCCAAA